ACCUGUUGAUGGCAGGUGGAGUCAUCUUUUUGUAAACUGUAUAAUUUCAAGUACCCUGGUUCAUGAUUUUCUCCGCCAGUCUCAUUAGUGAGCUCAAACCCUAUAUAUACGCAUCAUGUUCAUCGAUUUCCAUGUACAAAAACCAGAUCGAGGAAAUAGCUGUUGUAGAGUACCCACUAUAAAAGGAGAGAGAAGAGGGUAUUCAGAUUGUAGAUUACUAGAUUGUAGUGUCACUCGCUCACCAGAGUCUAAUAGAGAAUAGUGCACAACAGUGGAGUGAAGUGACUGGCACAUAGAGAGACUUAAAAGAAGUAACGGGAACCCCACUUUUCCAUCUUCACUUUCCUGUUUUUUUACCCUUUAUUCACUGUACUUACACAGUACAACGUUUAUGUCGGUUUGUGUGAGUGUGUGAUAAGGGUCUUUCUUUUGGUUCAGAGAGAGAAAGAGGAAUGAGAGAAGGAGAAACGUGAUGAGAAACGAAUAUCUCCCUUCUUGCUGGUUCUGGUUUUUCUAUCUCUGUGCUUUUACUGUUUUGCCAGAUUUGUGUGGAUGUGAGAUCUUCAAUCGUUUUCCCUUCUCUGACUCUCACGAAGACAUUGACUACUCUUCCUAUUCUCUCUCUCAUUCUGCUACUUCUUUAACACAGUUUCUCUUCCGUGAUUUCUGCUUCUUCUGACCCUUUGUUUUUUUUUUCUUUUUUCAAUUUUCUAGCUGUUUAUUUCUCCUGUCCAGUUAAAGUUAUAUGGAACUCAUUCUGUGUUCUAAGUCAUAUCUCUUCUCA